GAUGAACGCUGGCGGCGUGCCUAAUACAUGCAAGUCGAGCGAACAGACGAGGAGCUUGCUCCUCUGACGUUAGCGGCGGACGGGUGAGUAACACGUGGAUAACCUACCUAUAAGACUGGGAUAACUUCGGGAAACCGGAGCUAAUACCGGAUAAUAUAUUGAACCGCAUGGUUCAAUAGUGAAAGACGGUUUUGCUGUCACUUAUAGAUGGAUCCGCGCCGCAUUAGCUAGUUGGUAAGGUAACGGCUUACCAAGGCAACGAUGCGUAGCCGACCUGAGAGGGUGAUCGGCCACACUGGAACUGAGACACGGUCCAGACUCCUACGGGAGGCAGCAGUAGGGAAUCUUCCGCAAUGGGCGAAAGCUUGACGGAGCAACGCCGCGUGAGUGAUGAAGGUCUUCGGAUCGUAAAACUCUGUUAUUAGGGAAGAACAAAUGUGUAAGUAACUAUGCACGUCUUGACGGUACCUAAUCAGAAAGCCACGGCUAACUACAU
rnacentral:rRNA from 1 species